UGAGGCAGGAGGAUCGCUUGAGCCCGGAAGGCGGAGGUUGCAGUGAGCCGAGAUUGCACCAUUGCACUCCAGCCUGGGUGACAGUGAGACCCCGUCUCAAAAAAAAAAAAA
rnacentral:miRNA from 1 species